AAGGCUGCCUAAUAUAAUUCAAACGCUUUUAUAUUGCACUAUCACUAUUCACUAGAGUAUCAAACUAUCAACUGCUUACUACCUCAAAAAAUAAGAUGAAAAGUGAAACCUCAUGUUGCUCAAUUCACCAAUAACUGCUUCGUCGCCCUACCAGCCCGCCGUCGCCCCAUCUCCCCACCGUCGUUCCACCGUCCCACUAUCGUCCCACCGCCAAACUAUUGAAUGUCUACUUCACCGCACUGCACUGCUCCGCUCCGCUAUACCACCAUAGCACUUUCCAGUUCACAGGCACUUUUCCUAAGUCUUCCAAUGAAAGACAUGGUGACAUUGCAGAAUAACAGCCAUUUAUAAAAUACUCCGUUGUUUGGUCUAUAGAUUCAGGUUCUGUACAAGGAUUUCCAAAGGAUGUUCAGGAGGCUGAGUCUCAGAACCUGGUUUGUGCGAAGAAUUUGGUGAUAGACAAGAGCAUCCAAAUAACAUACAUUAAAGCAAUCAGAUCUGCUCAACAUUUCAUUCAUAUAGAAAACCAAUAUUUCCUUAGAUCAUCAUAUGCUUGGCCAAAUUAAAAAAAUUCCGGUAUGAAAUUUUUUGUUUCCCUUUCUUAUAAUGUUGUUGUUGAGGUUGUUUAGAAAAUGUGAAUGUUCUUGUUGGAAUCGAUAACAAGUUUUCCUAAUGAUUUUCUACUGGAAGGUGCUGAUCAUUUGAUACCAAUGAAGUUAGCCUUGAAGAUUGUUAGCAAAAUCUGAGCCAAAGAGAGAUUUGCUAUCUAAGUUGUCAUCCCUAUGUGAAUUGUAGAUCAAUAUGGUAUUGGUAUAUCUAAGCAUUAUUUUUUUUAAAUCAACAUUAACUAGAAAGGUGUUUUGAUAUUAAACUCAGGGACUUAUUUGUAUAGAACAAAUUUUGUAUGGAUGAUUUAAUUUAAUUGUGGUUGGAUGUUCUAAAUUAUAUAUAUGAAGUAUAUUUUGAUGGCUUUCGUCGUAUCUGGAAAUAUUUUUGUUAAUUUUAUUAUACAGAAAUUUAUAUUGCAUGUAUACAGGAUCAUGAAUUUAUUUUUACAUAGGAAAUGUGAAAAUUUUCUAACAAGAUAAAUGUACAAGAUAAAAAAUCGGAAUACAACAAAUACAGGUCUAAAAUGAAAUACAAAAAUAAUACAGAUUAUUAAAAUACAUGAAUAUUACAAUAUAAAAUACGUACAGGGGUAAUUCGAAAUACAUAUGGCUGGAUAUUUAAAAAAAAAACACAUUAGAGAACUGUUAUCUAACUUAAUCGUUCUCUAUUGUAAUGCAAUAUAGAUUGGUUAAGUGGCCCAAAAUGUUCUUUAUUCAUUCCUUAUGGUACGAAUUUAAGAAGGGAAAAGAGAACGGUUGUGACUAACAACCAUUCUCUAUAUGUGAUUAUAUAAAACGCCUAAACAACCCGUUCUCUAUACUUUAUACAUCGCCUAGCAGAAGAACGCCCCUAAGGUGAUCUAUAAAGCCUAUUAUAACAGUUCUCUAAGGCCUUGUUUGUAGUAGUGAUCCACUCUGAGUAUAUGCGGAUCCUAACCCUAGUGCUUGAUAUUAUUUGAUUUCUUCUUGAUUGUUUGAUUGUUUGGAUUAUACAUACCUUACUUCAUUACUUCGAGAUAGCUUAGCUUUAGCAUUAACAUUCAUCUCCCAUUCUUAGUGGUUCGACCCUCGACUUACUCCUAUGCUAGGUAUAAGGGUGUGUUGAGAGAUUACAAAUUUUGUUUUGACCAAGGGUAGAUUAGUUUUCAACGACCUAGUCUCUGCCCUUGAUCGAAAAUGGCGCCAUUUCCGAGGAAUGCCGUAGUUGUUUUCUAUUGUUGUUGAGUCUAUUUAACUUAAUUUCAAAAAUACAAAAAGAUUUUUCUCUUUAGGCUACAUUUGUAGCCGUGCUAUUGAUAUUUGCUUUGAGUUUUUUGUAUGCGUAGGAUAAAAGGAAGGACUUUAGUGCCAUUUGAUCCAAAAAUUGAGAGAACAAUAACAAGGAUAAGGGUUGCUAAUCGUUCUUUGAGUCCAAGCUCUCCAAGAGAGGAAAUUCACCAAGAAAGAGAAGAGGAGGAUCGAGUAAGCAUGGGAGCUAAUCCAAGAGUUGAUUUGAAGGAGUUGGGAACUCCCGACACUUAUAGGUUUAAGAGUGGCAUAGCUCCACCAAUAACUCGCACCAAUGACUGAGAUAAGGCCGACAAAGAUAACGAUGAUAGAAUGAAGGCAAUUUAGUUGAGCUAGGCAUGAAAGCCCACUAAACCAUCUCAAAGAGUUCGAGAAGUAUUGUAUUACCAUCAAGUUCAAUGGGGUUUCUCAAGAUUUCAUAAGGCUCAAACUAUUUCCAUUUUCUCUAAUCGGAAGGGCUUUGGAAUGGUUGGACAAGGAAGUGAAACCUAAUUCUUUAAGAAAUUUGGAUGAGGUUACUAAUGAGCUUCUUUCUCACUUAUAUCCUCAAAAGAAAACCGCCGAGGCAAGAACUCUAAUCCAAAGUUUCAAGCAAAAUCCUAGUGAGAGUUUGUAUGAGGCUUGGGAAAGAUACAAGGAGUAUCAACGAGAAUGACCUCAUCAUGGAAUUCUAACCUAUCAAAUCAUAUAAAUUUUCUAUGGAGGAUUAAGCCCCCAAGGGAAGUCGUGUCUUGAUGCCGAAGCCGGAGGCCCGAUUAUGAACAAGGAUGAAGAAGUGGUUGUAGAUAUAAUUGAUGAUGUAGUUUGUCACUACAUGGAUUGGCAAGAGGGAGGGGGAGAGUCCGUAAGCAAGAGUGGCUCAAGAUUUUAAUCGGUUGAUCAUCUUAAUGCAAUCAAUAACUUGUCUUCCCAAAUCUCAAACUAGGGAAAGGAGAUGAAAUUGAUUAAAGCCUCUUUGAUUGCACCAAGUCUUCCGUCCCACUUAAAAGGGAGAGGUACACCUUCUAACUCCAAUCCUCCUUCUACUUCGAGUAAUAUGCCAAGUGGUUGUGUCUUUUGUGAUGUUUGUGUCUCUUAUGACCAUGAUUCUUCAAAUUGUCCAAAUUCUUUUGAGAAUUGUGAUGAUGUUGAGCAAGUGACUUUUGUUUCUAAUAAUAAAAAUGGACAAAGAUUUGAUGAUCUAAGGAAUUUGGGGAAUAGGAAUUCUCACCAAUAAAGGAGUUUUGAUAACUACAACAAUGGUGGUUAUAGGAACCAAGGAAAUCAAGGUUUUUAAGGUAACUAUAUUAACCAAGUUUAUAGUAAUCUAAACAAAAACCAAGGGUAUGGAAAUCAAGGCCAAUCUCAUUGCUUUGGUGGCCAACACCAAAAUUUUGGUAAUAAUCAAGGCUGAGGUAAUUUGAACAAUCAAAAUAGGGGAAAUUUUCAAAGCAACAACCAAAGGGGACCCCCACCUGGAUUUUCUCCAAGACCUCAAGGAAAUGGUGAUAAUUCUUAUGCUCAACCCCCAUCUUCCAAGACUACCUUAGAGGAGAUCAUUGAGAACCAAACCAAGAUUUUGAACACCUACAUGUCGGUGAGUAAUAAGAAGUUCAAUGAGAUAAUGCCACACAACAAGAUUCUUGAAACCCAAAUCACUCAACUAGCCAACACUUUGAAAGAUUGAGCUAUCCUUUCUUCACUACCCUCUUAAGGAGUUGAUCCUAAGAAACCCGUUUAUUUUAUCACCACAAGGAGUUGAAAAGUGCUUGAAGAGAGAGUUUCUAGGAAUAGUGAUGAGGAUGAGAGGAAGAGUUAUUGUGAUUCAAGUGAGGAAAAAGAGAAAGAUGUGUCAAAGAGUGUGAGCAAAGAGGAGGUCCAUGAGAAAAAGAAGAGUGUUGAGAGAGUGCAAGAGGAAGUGAGAAAACCCGACCUUCCAUAUACCCAAAAUUUUAUGAGGAACAAGUUAGAUGAAAAAUUUAGGAGAUUUCUUGACAUGUUGAAGGAGAUCCAUCUUUCUAUCCCUCUCACCGAAGCUAUGACCCAAAUGCCUAGAUAUUCCAAAUUCCUUAAGGAUAUUUUGAGUGGAAAGAGAGAGUGCAAUGAGAUAGAUUCGGUAGAGCUUGGUGAGUGUUGUAGUGCAUUGAUUCACAAUGACCUACCAAAGAAGAUGAAGGAUCUGGGCAAUUUCUCUAUUCCUUGCAAGAUCAAGAGUAAGUUGUUUUGAAAUGCUUUGUGUGACUUAGGUGCUAGUGUUAGCAUUAUGCCUUACUCGGUGUUCAAGAAGCUUAAGCUAGGAGAACUUCUUCCUACGAACAUGACCUUGCAAUUGGCCGAUAGAUCUAUUAUGUUCCCAAAAGGAAGAGUUGAAGAUGUUCCCCUUAGGAUAGGCGGUUUCACAAUUCCCGUAGAUUUUAUUGUGCUAGAAAUUGAGGAGGAUGACAACAUUCCUAUUAUUCUAGGAAGACCAUUCUUAGCUACUUCGGGUGCUCUAAUAAAUGUUAAGGGAGGCCGUAUCAUUUUGAGGGUUGGUAAUGAAAAAGAGAUUUUUAAGCUAAAAACAUGCAUGAAUCCUUGUCUUUUGUAAAAGAAGUCAUGAAUCCUCAUGUUCUUGUGAAGUUUGAUGGCAUGAAAGUUAGUGAAGAAGAAAAGCUUUCAAAGGUCAAGGUUGAAGAGGUAAUUGACAUUCCACAUUAGUUUGAGCUUUGUCCUCAAGAGGAGGAGGAUGGUUCCAAGGAAGUGGAUGGUGUUAACCCGUCUACAAGAAGGAACAAGGCCAAGAAGAAGGCAAGGGCUUCUAGGAAGAAGUGGAUGAGAUUGAAGUUGAAGAAUGAGGAGGUUGUUUUUAAAGUUUAAGAAAAUGAGGUUUCAUCAACCAACAACAAGGAGUUGCUACAAAUUAAAGAGAAGUUUUUACUUUCCACACCUUUGAGUAAGGUGGUGUCCUUUAACCCUCUAUUAUUCGGAGGAAGGCUCGAGCUUAGGUACUUAAGCAAGCGCUUCCCGGGAGGCAACUUGGAGAUUUCUAAUCUAUUCUUUUGAUUUCUUUUUUCUUAAUUUUCUUUCUUUUAGUUUCUUUUCUUUCACUUGUUUUUUUUUUUUUGGAAUUAUAGGGUAAUUCAUAGUGAUGGAUUAAUUCAAACGAGCACGAGCAAUGGAUAGGAGGUUUUGCAGUUUUCAAUGUGAUGUAUUUUCGAUUUUAUCGAUUUUUUACGUAACAAGGGUAAGAAAUAUCGGUGAGGUAAGAUAGGGAAAUUGUGCCAAAAUUUAAAGGAAAUUUGAACUUGGUGACUUUAUUGUGGUGCUAUCAUUUUUGUAGGGGUGUUGAACCUACAUUCUUCAUGUUUAGAACCUGAUCAUUACGAUGGGUUUAAAAAUCCUGGGAUGAUAUUGAACGAUAAGCCCACAGAUGAACGCUACAAAGAAGCAAAAAACCGAGCUAUAUGAGUGGCGCGGGCGCUCCAGGAGAGGGCGCGGGCGCGCAGCUUGGCUGCGUGAACGCGCACCCCUGCAGGCCGAGCCUUAACUUUUUUCUUUUCCUUUCUUUUCCUCAUUUCUCCUUGUUCCCUAUCUCAUUCAAACGCACACCCCUCACAUGUCACUCUUGAAACCGCAAAAACCCUAACUCCAUUCAUCAAAUUUCAUCACAAAUUCAACCAAUUUUUAAUCAAGAAUCAUCAAAUCUUUCCACAUUUUCAUCUUUUUCAACAAAGACUACACUAUUUUCAUCUAUUUCAAGCUUUAAUCUCUCUCAUCCAUUGUUGAAGCAAAUUGGGGCUUUUUCGUUUGUGAGGGAAUUGGUGGCCAAAUCUUGUUCAAUCUUACAUCUUGUAUGGUAUAAACAUCUUCUUCUACUCUUAAUUGAAUAAUUAUAACAUAUAGUUGCAAGUAUUGGAUUGUUGAUAGUUGUGAAUAGUAGUAGUUUGGAUUUUGGUAGUUGUUGUUGAUUGUUAUUGCCUCACAUUGUGUUGUUUGAUGUUUUUGUAGCUAUAUUGAGCUUGAUUGUUGAAAAUUGUUUAGGUCGAAUUUUUGGUAGUGCGACAUUGAUAUUGUUGAGCAUUGGUUAUUGGUUUCUUUAUGAUUGGUGUAUGGUUGGAAUGCAAUUGUUGACUUGAAUUGGUGGUGAUUGUGUAACUUUGGGGUUGUUUGAUUUUUGUAGUGAGUUGUUGCUUGACGCUGUUGGUAAAGGAGUGUGAUUAAGGCAUCAUGAAUUGUUGGUUGGUGUUUGUGGUGUAUUGUGAUUGGAUUGUGAAGCUACUAUCUUCGAGAAUUCACCAUGUCUAAAUACAUUAAAGGCCUCCUCAAGAAACGAAAUACCAAUGUAACCAUUGAAGAACCCUCUCCUUCCCCCUCUACCUCAUAACCUCGCCAACCUACCCCUAUCCCCAAACUACGAAUUACCGACCCCAUUCAAAAGGCUAGAUACACAAAUCUUAAAGAAAACUGUUCCCUUAAACCUUCCCGCCAUUACUUCCAACAGGACAUGAUAAAGUUGGGAAUUGAUGAAGACUUAAGGGAAUUGCUCAACAACCUCCGUAUGGGAUCAUUCGUGAGCCGGAGCUUCCGCACCUAUGUUCAACCUACUUUGGAUUUCUUGGCUACGGUUAAUCUUGUUGUGGCUGAGGGAGAUUAUUACCAAGUUAAGUUUCAACUUUUCAACAUUCAAUUUGAUCAAUCUCUUGAAGAGUUCAAUGCGGCUCUAGACUUCGAUCCAAACUAGGAUAUUUUGGAUCCCGAGCUCUUUUUCAAUGAUUAGUAUGAUCAAAACUCAUGGUAGGACGACAUUUCUGGGUGUGGUGACUUUGUGACCUGGUAUACCAAGAUUAUUAAGUUGUACCAACCAUGUCUCCUAGUUCUCCAUCGGCUUUUGGGGUAUUCGGUGUUUCCGAAGCAAGAAUUGGGUAAAAUGAGUCAGUUGGAGCUUCAGAUUCUUUGGGUGGCUACUCGUGAAGAGUACCGAGGUCUUAUAAAUUUGGGGUACACAAUUUUCAAGUAUUUCCAAGGAUUGCAAGAUAGGGAUUCCGGUGAAAUCCCUUGUGGAAGCAUGGUCACAGGCUAUUGACCAACCUUAAGCUCGGGCACUAUUUGUCGUCUUGCACUCUGAUGGGGGAUAUUGAUUCUCUCUACCUUGACGUCCGACAAUUGAAGCAAAUUCAGUUCUUAGCAAAGAAUGAGGAUGAUGAGGUGUUUGAUUGGCUUCGGGAUAACACGCAUUGGUGCUAUCUCCCUAACCCCUCCUUGACUUCUCUCCACCGCGAGAAUGUGGCAAACAUUUGGCAUGUCUCCAAAAGUCACCGCCCUCCCUACUAUGAUGAUGAUUAAGAGAUGGGUGAAGAAGAGGAAGAAGAGCCGCAACAGCAACAACAAAAACAUCAAGAACAACAUCACCAAUUUGCUAACUCCGACUUGGAUAACCUUCGCGCUCAAAUAAAGGGCAUGCAAAUCCGGUUGGAGGGCAUGUAUGAUCAAGAAUUUGAGGCCCUGUACUCUCAAAUGAGAGGGAUUUCGGAAAUGCAACAAGGUAUGUUUCUCCCCUACAACAUUUAUAUGAUGCGGGUGUUAACCGGGGAGACAUCACUCCCCCGAUUAACUACCAUUACUUUCCACCCCAAUAUGGUCAUGUACCAUCUUUUGGUGGUGAUGGGGUACCCACGUACCCAUAUUGGCAAAGACCCCCGGGGUCCAACACCGAGACUCGCUCAUUCCCAGAUGAGCACGGUAACUAUGAUUACCGUGUUCCCGGUGGGAACGACUAUACGGGUGAUCCUAACUACCCCUAUGUACACCUCGAGCACCCAAUACCGCUUGCCUUGCCCGAGCAAUUCACUCCCCUUUCCCCUUUGCAACAAGAUAACUUUAGGGGGCAUUAUGGUUAGCCACCCGGUUACACCGGGGAAUGGGAUCCUUAUGGUCCCCCAUCUGGGUUUUCCUUUGAUAGGGAUAACAAUGAUGGCUCCGGGCCGAGUGGUAGUGGUAGCUAGUUCCCUCAUUUUUGUGCCAUUUUCCUCCAUCCCUUGUCUUAUGUGUGCUUGUUUCGUAUUGAUGGGAUGUUAAGAUGUAUCUAUGUUUAGCUUGGGGGAACUUUCCUUUUCUUAGGGGUUUAUCUCGGUGGCCAAUUUGUUGUUGAAGCUUGCCUUGUUUCGUUUGCUUCUUUGUAUGAUGGUCUCUUUCUUGAUUCCUCUUUGAUUGUGUUUGCUCAUUCUUGAUCUUGUUGUCGUAAUGAUUUUUCAUUAAUGAUGAUGCAUGUGUUGCUCCCUAGAAUCCAACCCCCUAAUAUCCAAAUCCCAUGAAUCCAAUCCCUUGAAUCCAAAUUUUGUAGCUUAAUACUUUGUUGAUUAGUUAGAUGUUUAGUUGGUUAUUUAGUUCUUAUUUUCUUAUCUUUCCUUUCUUGGUAGGUUAGUUUAGCUUAUUUUUGCUUAUUAGUUUCUUUCGUUUUCGUUUUCUUUUCUUUUCUUUUGUUUUGAAGUUACUAACCGUUUUCUUUGUCUAUAGUUCUCUUUUCUAUUUUUUUUCUCAUAUGGCUUUGAUGAUGAUGCUUUGUUUCUUGGAGCUUCAUGAGGUGAUUGAUUCUUCACCUUACUAUUUUUGCGUUGCUCGGAAGCCGGUGAGAUCUUUCUUAUUUUUCUUUAUAUCUUUUAUUUUCUUGGAUGCAUAGUUUAGGAUUAGUUUUAGGAGAAGUUGAAUGGUUUGAGGAUGGAUGCUUUAACACCUAGAGUGUUUAGGAUCAUUGGCGAUGUUGUCAUUUGAUCACUUGUUUGUUGAUUGGGAUUUACGUGUUAUACUUGCAUAUUCGUUCCAUUCUUUACUUUCCUUCUUUUUCUUUGUCUAUAUUUUUCUUUUUCUCCUUCCUUGUCUUUUAUUUUUCUUUCUUCUUGUUUUUGGUUUUUGGUGUGUUUUGAGGCUUUAUUUGUCACUUUUUGUUUUUCUUUUGAAUUAGAUUAUAUACAACCGAUUUUUUCUUUUGAAUAAAUAUCUUCCUAAAUAGUAUGGGUAUGCACGGUUUUGAGAAUAUGCUUGGUUGUCUCUAGGAUAGGUUUAUGCUAAGGUAGCAUGUCUAAGAACUAGGAGGAUCAUGAAACCAGAUUCUACUUGUUUGUGGCAUGUUGGUAGUUGCUUCCCAUGGUCGAUUUGACACCUAUAGUGAGUUUUUGCUACAUCCAUGUGAGAUUCAUUAUUUUUCAAGCCUUCUACAUUUAUUUGCAUGUGCGGCAUGGAUCCUUGACUGUUGCGAACCUAAUCUUGAAUCUUGACUCAUAAUUCUCGAACACGAGACCGAACCAAUAAGGGAUGACAAAGGCAUCUUUUCGGGGUGGUAAAUUUUCUUUUCUAGGUUAAUUUUCUUUCGUUUCAGAUCAUUUACUUUACAUUUGCCUUCUUACUAAACAUUUGAGCCUUUUCCCUUCUUUGCAAGCAACAUCUUUAGAACUUUGACCCUUUUGUUUCUUUUUGUUCCAUUUUUGGUUUUUGUGAAGCAAUGGUCAUGUUUUCGGAGUUAUUGGGGUAUAAGGUUGGAUAUUUGUUCUAUUUGUAAGCAAGGUU